AGUGCAGACGUCAGAGUGAAGCAGCAGGAGCCCGCAGAUCGGAAAACGCUUACAGUUCAUCCAAGUCCCUUGGAGGCCAUUUCACCUUUUUCAACCAUUUGGCUUACAGUUCGUUCAAGUGCAGCCAAUUUCUUGGGGGCCAUUUCACCUUUAUCAACC